rnacentral:sRNA from 1 species
UGCGUCCGCGGCGGACCCGGCACGAGCCCUCGGAGGGCUUCGCGGACAGUCGGCUCGUGUACGGUCUGGUACUUCCCGGAAUUAUCCGGGCUUUAAUGCCUUCU